ACAGCAGUAGCCGCGGGAAUACAGAGGGUGCGAGCGUUAAUCGGAUUUACUGGGCGUAAAGCGUGCGUAGGCGGCUUCUUAAGUCGGAUGUGAAAUCCCUGAGCUUAACUUAGGAAUUGCAUUCGAUACUGGGAAGCUAGAGUAUGGGAGAGGAUGGUAGAAUUCCAGGUGUAGCGGUGAAAUGCGUAGAGAUCUGGAGGAAUACUGAUGGCGAAGGCAGCCAUCUGGCCUAAUACUGACGCUGAGGUACGAAAGCAUGGGGAGCAAACAGGAUUAGAUACCCGCGUAGUCCCUGUCUCUUAUAC
rnacentral:rRNA from 1 species